GACGAACCGUGCGAACGUUAUUCGGAAUCACUGGGCUUAAAGCGCGUGUAGGCGGGCCGCCACGUCGGCUGCUGAAAUCCCCCGGCUCAACCGGGGAAGUGGCACCGAUACGAGCGGCCUGGAGGGGGGUAGGGGGCACUGGAACUUCCGGUGGAGCGGUGAAAUGCGUUGAGAUCGGAAGGAACGCCCGUGGCGAAAGCGAGUGCCUGGACCCUUACUGACGCCUGAGGACGCGAAAAGCCAGGGGAGCGGAACCGGG
rnacentral:rRNA from 1 species